rnacentral:tRNA from 1 species
GGUUCCAUAGUGUAACGGUUAGCACGUCUGCUUUACACGCAGAAGGUCCUACAGUGGAGCCCCAGUGGAGCCA